GUCGAACGCGUCUCCAUUAAUGAUUUUAGGUGCUUGCAUUUGACAGAUUUAACAUUGAGACGAGUGGCGAACUGGUGAGUAACACGUGGGUAACCUGCCCUUGAAGUAGGGGAUAACACUUGGAAACAGGUGCUAAUACCGUAUAACAACCAAAACCACCUGGUUUUGGUUUAAAAGACGGCUUCGGCUGUCACUUUAGGAUGGACCCGCGGCGUAUUAGCUUGUUGGUAAGGUAACGGCCUACCAAGGCGAUGAUACGUAGCCGACCUGAGAGGGUAAUCGGCCACAUUGGGACUGAGACACGGCCCAAACUCCUACGGGAGGCAGCAGUAGGGAAUCUUCCACAAUGGACGAAAGUCUGAUGGAGCAACGCCGCGUGAGUGAUGAAGGGUUUCGGCUCGUAAAACUCUGUUGUUGGAGAAGAACAGGUGUCAGAGUAACUGUUGACAUCUUGACGGUAUCCAACCAGAAAGCCACGGCUAACUACGUGCCAGCAGCCGCGGUAAUACGUAGGUGGCAAGCGUUGUCCGGAUUUAUUGGGCGUAAAGGGAACGCAGGCGGUCUUUUAAGUCUGAUGUGAAAGCCUUCUGCUUAACCGAAGUCGGGCAUUGGAAACUGGGAGACUUGAGUGCAGAAGAGGAGAGUGGAACUCCAUGUGUAGCGGUGAAAUGCGUAGAUAUAUGGAAGAACACCAGUGGCGAAAGCGGCUCUCUGGUCUGUAACUGACGCUGAGGUUCGAAAGCGUGGGUAGCAAACAGGAUUAGAUACCCUGGUAGUCCACGCCGUAAACGAUGAAUGCUAAGUGUUGGAGGGUUUCCGCCCUUC
rnacentral:rRNA from 1 species